UUGUCGUAGGUCAGUUGGCAGAAUAUUAGGCUGUAAACUUAUUUGUCCUUGGUUCGAGUCCAAGAAAAG